UACGGAGGGAGCUAGCGUUGUUCGGAAUUACUGGGCGUAAAGCGCACGUAGGCGGCUUUGUAAGUUAGAGGUGAAAGCCCGGGGCUCAACUCCGGAAUUGCCUUUAAGACUGCAUCGCUUGAACGUCGGAGAGGUAAGUGGAAUUCCGAGUGUAGAGGUGAAAUUCGUAGAUAUUCGGAAGAACACCAGUGGCGAAGGCGACUUACUGGACGACUGUUGACGCUGAGGUGCGAAAGCGUGGGGAGCAAACAGG
rnacentral:rRNA from 1 species